rnacentral:rRNA from 1 species
GUGAAUGCCUUGGAGGAAAAAUAUAGGCGUAAAUAAUUACGAGAGUGUUGGUCGAGAUAUACUGUGACACCAACCCCCCUAAUAUAGUAAACUAAAGCUGUAAAGCUUACUGUAAAUGCAGUAAUAUGGGGAAGUGAAACAUCUUAGUACCCUGUUUGUUAAAUCAACCGAGAAGCCAUAAGUAGUGGUGAGCGAAAGUGGUGUUUGGCUAAAUUAAAAAUUUAAAAACAAAAAAUUGUUUUUACCUUAGAAGGUUAUAGUCCUGUAGUUUUUAAUUUUUUUUUUAAUAGUAGAACAAGGCAAGUUUACCUUGUUCGAGUUUUGGGGGACCACCCUCAAAGCCUGAGGUUAUUUUUCUUUCCGAUAGUGAACAAGUACCGUGAGGGAAAGGUGAAAAAGAAGUCGCGACAGUGAAUAGAUCCUGAAACUCCGCAUUUGAGUCGGCGCUUUUAAAAGCAACGGCAUACCUUUUGUAUAAUGGGCAAGUGAAUCUUAAUAAAAGGCAAGCUUAAGCGUAUCAAAGUCUAGGCGAAGAUAACUCGAGUCUUAAAUGGCGACUCAUAGUCUUUUGUUAAGGACCCGAAACCGGUUGAUCUAAACUUGAGCAGGCUGAUAUUGUAGUGGUAACAUUUUUUGGAGGGCCGAACCCGUGUAUGUGGCAAAAUACUGGGAUGACUUGAGUUUAGGGGUGAAAGGCCAAUCAAAGCCGGUGAUAGCUGGAUUUCUGCGAAAUCUAUUUAAGUAGAGCGUUCUAUUAGAGUAGUCCGGGGUAGAGCACUGUGCAAGUGAGGGGAGCAUUUGCUUUACCGAGCUUUGGCAAACUUCGAAUACGGACUUUAUUUUUAGGGCAGACAGAACAUGUGUGCUAAGAUUCAUGUUCAAAAGGGAAACAGCCCAGAUUGUUAGUUAAGGUCCAUGAUAUAGCUUCAGUGACAAAGGUUAUUUAUGUUCUGAGACCGUCAGAAGGUAGGCUUGGAAGCAGCCAUUCUUUUAAGACAGCGUAACAGCUCACUGACCUAGAGUAUAAAUUCCGCAAAUUUUGAGGGCUUAAAGUUAUUACCGAAACUUCAAACAAAACAAUAUUACUAUAUUAUUUUGUGGUAGCAGAACAUUCCGUAGGUUGUAAAAGCUAUAGUGUAAACUAUUGUGAAGAUAUCGGAAAUGAGAAUACUUGCAUGAGUAGCACGAAACAAUGAUAAACGUUGUGGCUGUAAGUCUAAGGUUUCCGAUCUAAAGUAAAACUUGGUCGGCAGAAGCGUGUACUUCUAGAAAAAACGGUCCCUAAGCAGUCAAGCCAAGGCUUGUGGUGAUGGGUAAGAUUAUGCUGUGAUAAGUAACUGACGAAAAAUUCACUUUAUUUUUAAUAAAUUUAAAGGUAAAUUAUUUUUUCCAAGAAAAAGGCUCUUUUUUAAACCGUACCUUAAACCGUCACAGGUAGACGGGUUGAGAACACUAAGGCCUUGAGAUAACCCCGUUGAAGGAACUCGGCAAAAUGACUCUGUAACUUCGGAAUAAGGAGUAAAAAGUGGCGCGAAAGCUCUACUUUUUGGCACAAAAUUGGGGGUAGCGACUGUUUAUUAAAAACACAGGUCUCUGCUAACUCGUAAGAGGUUGUAUAGGGACUGACACCUGCCCGGUGCCGGUAGGUAAAGGCCCAGUGUUUACGCAUUGGUAUCAAACCCCGGUAAACGGCGGCUGUAACUAUGACGGUCCUAAGGUAGCGAAAUUCCUUGUCGGGUAAGUUCCGACCCGCAUGAAUGGUGUAACGACUUCCCCGCUGUCUCCAACGGGGUCUCAGUGAAAUUACAAAGGUCGUGAAGAUGCGACCACCCUACAGCUGGACGGAAAGACCCCGUGCACCUUUACUAUAUGCAACUAUUGUAAUUCAAAGAUUUUAGUGUAGAAUAGGUGGGAGCUUGUGAUUUAAUUUCUACGGAGAUUAUUUAGGCGUUAGUGAAAUACCACCCAAAAAUUUGUUGGUUUACUAACUUACGGACAGUGGUUGCUGGGUAGUUUGACUGGGGCGGUCGCCUCCUAAAAGGUAACGGAGGCGUACAAAGGUUUCCUCAGAUCGGUCAGAAAUCGAUCGAAGAGUGUAAAGGCAAAAGGAAGCUUGACUGUGAGACUUACAAGUCGAACAGAGACGAAAGUCGGUCUUAGUGAUCUGGCGAUAUUGAGUGGAAAAGUCGUCACUCAACGGAUAAAAGUUACUCUAGGGAUAACAGGCUGAUCUCCCCCAAGAGUUCACAUCGACGGGGAGGUUUGGCACCUCGAUGUCGGCUCAUCGCAUCCUGGGGCGGUAGUACGUCCCAAGGGUUGGGCUGUUCGCCCAUGAAAGCGGUACGUGAGCUGGGUUCAGAACGUCGUGAGACAGUUCGGUCCAUAUCCGGUGUAGGCGUUAGAGUAUUGAGAGGAUUCUUCUUUAGUACGAGAGGACCGAGAAGAACAUGCCGCUGGUGUACCAGUUAUCAUACCAAUGGUAAACGCUGGGUAGCCACGCAUGGAAAGGAUAACCGCUGAAAGCAUCUAAGUGGGAAGCUCACCUCAAGAUGAGUACUCUCAUUGUGAAAACAAGUAAGAUCACGGCAAGACUAGCCGUUUAAAUAGGCAUCAAGUAGAAGUGUAGUAAUAUAUUAAGCUGAGAUGUACUAAUAGAUCGAGGACUUGAACUA